GCAUUCUCAUGUUUAUUGCAGCAUUAUUUAUAAUAGCCAAAAUACAGAAACUACCUAAGUGUCUGCUGAUGGUUGAAUGGAUAAAGUAAAUGUUUAUAUUGUUGAUUUGCAAGCUCCCCAGGUGUAAUCUGAAGUUGGCCCCCAUAGUGAAGGGCAGGGAGAGAGGGAGAGGCAGGCCACUUCAGAUUGGUAGGUGGCAGAUUUAACAAGCACAGAAACUUACAUACAAGGCUUGUCCUGGGCUGCAGCAAGGUAACUAAAUUUCUGCACCCACCUACCAAAUCCUUAAAGUUUAUACAGAGGCUUAACUGGGUUCCGUCAUAUAUACCAUCCAGAUGGUCUCAAUAGCACAACAUUAUCACAAGGGUAUGUCCUUGGGGAAGCCUCUGAGAGCAGGGAAGGCAAGCAGAACCCACGUUGUAAGAACCAGAGAGAGCUGCAAGAAGCCUCCAGUUGCCCAGGGCCGGUUCAUGGGUCAACUGACAGUCACAGCCUCUUGAUGACCUCCUCCAACAUAUGCAUACAAUGGCAUAUUAUUCAGCCUUUUAGAAGAAGGAAACCCUAUCAUAUGCAACAACCAAAUCCAGGUUCAUAUGGUCAACCUGAAGGAUUUCAUGGUAAGUGAAAUAAGCCAGUCACAGAAGGCAAGAUAGGGUCUUUAACGAGGCAAUCAAGUUAAAAUGAGGUCAUUAAAGUGGGUCCUAAUUCAAUAUGACUGGUGUCCUUAUAAGAAGAGGUAAUUAGGACACAGGCAUAUGCAAAGGAAAGACCAUGUGAAGACACAGGGAAAAGAUGGUCAUGUACGAGCCAAUGAGAGGCCUCAGAAGAAGCCAAGCCUGCUGACACACUAAUCUUGGACUUCGCCUCCAGAACUGUGAGAAAAGAAAUUUCUGUUAUUUAAAUCCACCCGGUCUGUUUUACUUUGUUAUGGCAGCCCGAGCAAAGUAAGACACCGCUCAUUUUAAUGUAGAACAGUUUUAUUCUCCACUUCACUGCUCUGAACUCAUGAAAGCCUCCCUUGGUAAAUCCUUAACCUCAUUAAGCCUCUUUUCUAAACAAAAGACCAUUCUCUCAGGAUAUUUGCCCUUUAGUAGCACAGAGUACCCAUAGAGGCUGAGAAAUUAGUCUUUGCUCGAGUAAGAUCAAACUCGUUGGCACAUCAGUCUUCUUAAGUGGGAAGGGAGCAGGAUAAAAGUCUAUUCUUCCGUAAUAAAGAAUACACCACCUCUUAAGAAGCUGGAAGCACCUACGGCCAGAUUUUCUUUUGUUUGCUUGAAAUGGCAGUUUCCCCCUUCCCAGUUGGUUCACGUGCACUCACACAGCCGUUCACUUAACAGUGGGUUAUUAAGAGCCUCCUGUGUGCAAGCCACUGUGUCAAAGAUAAGCCCAUGAAGUCUUGCUUAAAGGGCAUCACAGAAAUGAACAGUAGCUGAAGGUGGAUGUGGAGUUAAGGGAACAGUUCUAUUUUUCUUUCCUUUUCUUUUUAAAAAGAGCUCGGGAGAUACACAGUGCUGACAGGAACAUCUCAGUAGGAAGGGAGAGAAGGACAAAGGCAGGACCUUACAAGCUCCAGCAGAGUGUGGACCAUGGACCACCUGUAUCAGAAUCAACUAGAGAGCACGUGUAAAUGCCGCAUUUGCAUAUUCAGCCUCUCCUGAGGAGCUGAACACACAGGAAACACUGAGAAAUGUUGCUGCUUUCAGAAGCAUCAAGAUGUAACUCCAAACAAAAGCUUUGUGCCCUGCAACUAGCCGUCUUUCUUCAUCUGGUGAGCAGCAUUCGUGGGUUCUCAAUCCCAUCUCUAGAAAACUAGUUGUCCCAGGUAGAGAAGCCACAAACUCUCCAGGACCUCCAGGACCUCUGUCUCCAGGGACUCGGAGUCAAUGGCUGCCCUCCAGCACUGACACUGGACUGUCACUCGCUUUUUCUCCAUUCCUUUUUCUUUUAAAUCGAGUGCAGGGGUCAAAAGGAACGGCUGCUGGGAGGAUAGACAGAACAGUUUCGUUCAACACAAUGUAAAGGUUUUACAGGAAAUAUUUGCUGUUUCAUGUAUAAUUGAAUAAAAACGUAACGAAUGUC